rnacentral:sRNA from 1 species
GGGCCGGGCCUCCUCGCGCUUGUUCGUUGCGCGUGGACCGGCUCGUGAAGACGGAAGUUCGGAACCCUUGAGUUCAGGAUCCUAGCUCACAGAAUGGUGUUGCCAGCACUCAUGGUGGCUCCUCCUGUCUCACAUAAACUCCUCUGGAAAUGACCUCUUAUCCACUCCCACCCAGCUGGGACUCAUCGAAGCAUUUCCUCAAGGGAGACUCCUUUCUCUGUGAUAACUCCAGUUUGUGUCAAGUUGACACACAAAACCAGCCAUUCACCCACCAAUAUCCUGAGCACCACGGAAUAAGUCAUUGGUCAGCCGUGUGAGCGGUGCUGAACAAAUGCCCUUGUUUAGUUGUCUGCCCCGGGGUACAAUCAUUCUCUACUCUCAAAAUGGAGCUGCUUAUGAAACCGUCUUCCAGGACAAUAUGUAGGAGUCCCCGCAGAUGUUUUGGCUGACAGGGGAAAGCUCCACGAACGGGAACAUUUAUGUUAUCUUGCCAUAGUUUUAUACCUGUAUUUAUUCAUUUAAAACGAAUCGACAAGGACUGUGGGACCGAGCCCAAGGCGAGAAAAACCAGAUGCAGGGGAGACAAACGCCCCGAGAAGCCAGCAGCUGAGAAAGCUGUAGGACUCCCUGCCUCAUGGAACUCAUCCGUUGGAAGACUAGUCUAGUCUAGGACAUGUGGUGCCUGGAAAGAGAGGCCCAGUCCUGAAUUCACAGGAAGUGUUGGAAUGAACUGUGACUCCAUGAGCCUUCGCACAAGUUUGCUCCAUAGAGAUUCAAGUCUGUGCUAAGGAAAGACAUCAGUCGUUGUCUACUGAGCCCAGGGAGUGGUCAGAUAUGAAGCUCAAUCAAUUCCAUGGGAGGUCAUCACGGGCUGAGUGGCUCUCUUCAAAUUCCCUGGAUAUCCUAACCCCCCAGGAGCUUCAGACCAUGACUUCAUUUCAAGAUAAGGACAU